GACGAACGCUGGCGGCGUGCCUAAUACAUGCAAGUCGAGCGGGCCUCCGGAGGUGCUUGCACCUCCGGAAGGCCAGCGGCGGACGGGUGAGUAACACGUGGGCAACCUGCCUUUGAGGCCGGGAUAACACCGGGAAACCGGUGCUAAUACCGGAUACGUCCUCUUUCGCGCCUGCGAGAGGGGAGAAAGACGGUCUUUAAGGCCGUCGCUCAAAGAGGGGCCCGCGGCGCAUUAGCUGGUUGGUGGGGUAAGGGCCUACCAAGGCGACGAUGCGUUGCCGACCUGAGAGGGGGAUCGGCCAAACUGGGACUGAGACACGGCCCAGACUCCGGCGGGAGGCAGCAGUAGGGAAUCAUCCGCAAUGGGCGAAAGCCUGACGGUGCAACGCCGCGUGAGUGAGGAAGGUUUUCGGAUCGUAAAGCUCUGUUGUGAGGGAAGAACAGCUUCCGGAGGAAAUGCCGGAGGUUUGCCGGUACCUCACCAGAAAGCCCCGGCUAACUACGUGCCAGCCGCCGCCGUAAAAC
rnacentral:rRNA from 1 species